GAAAGGGGCGGUAGUACCAGAUAAUGUCUUCGGGACCAAAGAUUUAUCGGCAUUGGAGCGGCCUAUCUCCUAUCAGCUUGUUGGUGAGGUAACGGCUCACCAAUGCAACGACGGGUAGCGGGACUGAGAGGUUGGCCCGCCACAUCGGGACUGAGACACUGCCCGGAGCUCCACGGAGGGCUGCAGUAACGGAUAUUGGGCAAUGGGCGAAAGCCUGACCCAUCAAUGCCGCGUGCAGGAUGAAGCCCCUAGGGGUGUAAACUGCUGUCAGGGGUCAGAAAGCUGGUUUCGGCCAGUUGAUCAACCCCAGAGGAAGUCACGGCUAACUUCGUGCCAGCAGCCGCGGUAAUACGAAGGUGGCAAGCGUUAUUCGGAAUCAUUGGGCUUAAAGGGCACGCAGGCGGAACAGGGUGUGUUGUGUGAAAUCCCCCGGGUUAACCGGGGAAUUGCACAGCAAACUGAUGUUCUUGAGGCAGGUAGGGGUGCAUGGAACUCUUGGUGGAGCGGUGGAAUGCGUAAGAUAUCAAGAGGUACGCCAGAGGUGAAGACGGUGCACUGGGCCUGUCCUGACGCUGAGGUGCGAAAGCGUGGGGAGCGAACGGGAUUAGAUACCCCGGUAGUCCACGCCGUAAACGAUGUCUACUAGGUCGUGGGUGUUCUGACACAUUCACGGCCGGAGCAAAAGUGUUUAGUAGACCGCCUGGGGAGUACGGCCGCAAGGUUAAAACUCAAAUGAAUUGACGGGGGCUCACACAAGCGGUGGAGCAUGUGGAUUAAUUCGAAGCAACGCGCAGAACCUUACCUGGGUUUGACAUGCUUGUAUGCCUUCUCUGAAAGGAGUUAGGCUGCCUUCGGGUGAAACUUGCACAGGUGCUGCAUGGCUGUCGUCAGCUCGUGUCGUGAGAUGUCGGGUUAAGUCCUUUAACGAGCGAAACCCUUGCCGUUAGUUGCCAGCGAGUAAUGUCGGGGACUCUAACGGGACUGCCGGUGUUAAACCGGAGCAAGGUGGGGAUGACGUCAAGUCCUCAUGGCCUUUAUGCCCAGGGCUUCACACGUGCUACAAUGGCAAUUACAGAGCGACGCGAUACCGCGAGGUGGAGCAAAUCGCAAAAAAAUUGCCUCAGUUCGGAUUGCAGGCUGGCAAUUCGCCUGCAUGAAGUCGGAAUCGCUAGUAAUCGCGUAUCAGCAAUGACGCGGUGAAUGUGUUCCUGAGCAUUGUACACACCGCCCGUCAAGUGAUGGAAGCCGGGAGUACCCGAAGUCGGAUUGCUACCCUUUGGGAGGCGCCUGCCGACGGUAAG
rnacentral:rRNA from 1 species